GCCUGGGCUUGGUGGCACAAGCCUGUAAUCCCAGCAACUCAGGAGGCUGUGGCAGGAGAAUCCCAAGUUGAAGAUAUCAGCCUAGCAAUUUAGUGAGGUCUUAAACAACUUAGUGAGACCCUGUCUCAA
rnacentral:sRNA from 1 species